AGCGAACGCUGGCGGCAGGCCUAACACAUGCAAGUCGAACGAACUCUUCGGAGUUAGUGGCGGACGGGUGAGUAACACGUGGGAACGUGCCCUUUGGUACGGAAUAACUCAGGGAAACUUGAGCUAAUACCGUAUGUGCCCUUCGGGGGAAAGAUUUAUCGCCAUUGGAGCGGCCCGCGUCUGAUUAGCUAGUUGGUGAGGUAAAGGCUCACCAAGGCUACGAUCAGUAGCUGGUCUGAGAGGAUGAUCAGCCACAUUGGGACUGAGACACGGCCCAAACUCCUACGGGAAGCAGCAGUGGGGAAUCUUGCGCAAUGGGCGAAAGCCUGACGCAGCCAUGCCGCGUGAAUGAUGAAGGUCUUAGGAUUGUAAAAUUCUUUCACCGGGGACGAUAAUGACGGUACCCGGAGAAGUAGCCCCGGCUAACUUCGUG
rnacentral:rRNA from 1 species